GAGAGCCGUGUGAUGGGUGACUAUCCAGCACGGUUCGUAGAGCACUUGUAGUCUGCGCUGAGAACUACGGCGGGGUCGAAAUGAAUUUUGAUAAUCCAUAAUAAUUCAUUUGAAC
rnacentral:ncRNA from 1 species